rnacentral:tRNA from 1 species
GCCUGGGUGGCUCAGUCGGUUGAGCAUUGGACUUUGGCUCCAGUCAUGACCUCAUAGUUCUUGAGUUCAAACUCUGCAUCAGGCU